rnacentral:lncRNA from 1 species
CACGCCCGGCGCGGCCGCUCCUCCUCCGCCGCCCGCACCGUCGUCGAAGAGGAACUCGGAGAUGUCGAACGGCUCGGCGGGCGCGGCGGCGCCGAGCGCGGCGGAGAAGCUGGACGCGGAGCUGGAGGUGGAGCUUCCCCCGUGGGAGAAGUAGGAGGACAUGGAGGCGGCGGCGUCGCCCGCCGGCGCCGGGUGGUGGUACAGCACUGGGCGCGCCCCGACUGCCGCCAUGACCGGAUGGGCCACCGCCGCGGGAGCUUUGUAUUUAUAGUAGCAGGUCGGGGAUGCGCUCGGAGGAUCGAGCUGCCGGUGUGCAUGGGGGAGUGAGGGAUGCC